GCUCCAUGCAUGCUGCAGACUGACCAAUGCCAACCAUCACCGCACAGUGCCUACGGCUGGAAGGAAUCCCACUGCAGCAGCAGUGCAUAUAAUGAGCUGCAUGAGAACUUUGGAGCUGCUCAAUUAUGAGGAAUGGCGAACACCUUUCCUGACGUUGGUUUGAUUUAUGGCUGUGCAUUUAUUCCUGAGUUCAACUUAAGUCAACUUAUAGCUUAGGAGCCAUGGUAUCGCCUGUGAAAAAUUUGGUUUUUACUGUGAGUGCAAAGGUAUGCCAUGGAGGGUUUUGAGCAGA